rnacentral:tRNA from 1 species
GGGGAUGUAGCUUAGUGGUAGAGUGUUUACCCAAUAUUCAGGAAGCCCUGGGUUUGUUCCCAGCAUUGCCA